GCAAACUCCGCCGAUCGGUCCCUGAAAUAUUUAUUUUACUGGAAAAUAGCGUUGGGCACACGGACUUUGAUGAAUUUACUGUUUAUCAGACCCCAGAUAAGACAAAAAGCUAACGAACGCUGCGUUCCCUUUGCCUCUGACACCAUGCUGGUCCCUGUAGGAGACGCUAGAUUAGAAAGAAAAAAAGAGACUCUGUAUUCCUCCGACAUGCUGUAUUAACGUUACUGUUUAAAAUGCUUUCCAGGUUAGUGGCAAUGCAUACCGUUCAAAACCAACAU